rnacentral:tRNA from 1 species
GGGCCGGUAGUUCAGAUGGGAGAACAUCUCGUUCGCAACGAGGAGGUCAGCGGUUCAAAUCCGCUCCGGUCCACCA